UACGGGGGGGGCAAGCGUUGUUCGGAAUUACUGGGCGUAAAGGGUUCGUAGGUGGCUUGUUAAGUCAGACGUGAAAUCCCUCGGCUCAACCGGGGAACUGCGUCUGAGACUGAUGAGCUCGAGUGCAGGAGAGGAACGCGGAAUUCCAGGUGUAGCGGUGAAAUGCGUAGAUAUCUGGAGGAACACCGGUGGCGAAGGCGGCGUUCUGGACUGCAACUGACACUGAGGAACGAAAGCGUGGGGAUCAAACAGG
rnacentral:rRNA from 1 species